rnacentral:snRNA from 1 species
UGAAUCACUAGGAUGAUCCAUCU